CGAUUUUAACGCGAGUUCAAACGUGCGUGUUUACUACGUUCGCUUAUUAAUUUCCGCUUAUAUUUUUCUUAAAAGCAUUAUUUAACGUAAUAUUAAUACAUCAUAAUAUCACCCUAUUAACUUACAAGACUUCCAAAGUUACGACGAUGAAAUUAUGUAUCGUUAUAUCGUAAAUAGAUCCUGUAGAUCCAGUUAUCGGCAGAGAAAUUGUCGGUACGCGCGACCAUUUUAACCGAGUCACGAUGAGAAAUCCACACCUGUCUGAACACACGAAGUGUCGUACCACUUAAGCGUCCAGAAACUCCCUGCUUAUGUUCGACGUCAGUUGGAUCGAUAUCCACGACUCGCGCUUGGCCACGAAACGUCUGGGAGCGACGAUACGCUAAUUACCGUUCGUGUGUUUAUCGCGUUCCACAAAGGGGGUCGCACGCGAUACGCGACGAGAGAGGAGAAAGAAGAGAGGUAUUACGACCGAAUUGUUCGCUGGUUCGUAUCCACAUGGCGGAACUCGUUCAUCCGAUUCAAAAGAAAAAGAAAAAGAAAAAAAAAGAAAAGAAAAAAGAAAGAAAAAAAAGAAAAACAUGAGAAAAAGUUAGUAUCGCGAUUAUUCGAUCCAACGAGUUCCGUAUUAUCUCUUUGCAUUGUGAAAAAGAACAUGACUAAGUACUUUAUCACGAUCUUUCAAAAAUCACAAAUUUUCGAAAUAAUGAAGAAUACCUAGACAAAUGUAAUGAUUAAUUAAAUUUGAAUAGUAGGAGGGAAAUAAAAACAAAAUAAGAACAAAGGAAAGAAUAGAAAUACCAUGAUAUAGUAUAUUAACGAUUGUCAAUAGAGAUUUGAUAAAAAUCAACGUUUUUACGAAUUGAGAUUUUCGUUUGAAAGGACAUUGUCCAUCGUAAAACGAUAUCCAAAAAGUUAUAGAGAGAAUGGCAUUUAGAUGAAAGGUAUUUACGUAAAAUAGCGGUAAGCCGCUGUGUUUGGGAUAUAGUUUUCCAUGCUUUCGAACGGAGAAACACGGCCAAACCAAAAGCAAGCCGACGCGAUGUUGGAUGCCGUUAUUUAUCCAUUCCCCGUGGUCACAGGAAAUCCCCCGGGAUAGACGGUGUACGUGCUUUAAUCGCGGCAGUGGCAUACUGCCUGUGGCAUAUAUCCAUCCCGGGUGCCAUGAAGCGGAAGAAUCGACCUUUUAGGGAGAAGGAACAAAGCGAGAAAGCACCGAGAGUUUCUAAAAGCUUUCUCUAUCUGUCUACGUUACACGAUACAAAAGAAUAAAAUACGAUCGAUCGGUAAAGAAACGAACGACCAAUGGCCACGUACGCAUCGUCCUUCUCAAUCGCUACUUUAUCGAAAAAUAAGAAAAAAGGUUACUUUUCUUACAGUAGAUAUUACUGUGUAACGAUCUACCUUGGAUUUUUCUUUUAUCCAGAAACAUAGAAACGAACAGAAUGAACCUUACUCGUGAUUAUCUCGAUACAUAACGAUAGAAAUCUAUUGAAACGUGUAUCGCGGAGAUAUCGAUUAGUUCGAACGUAUCGGAAGUUUUGACUGUGCUAUCACUAGCGUUAAGAAAACUUCUUUCAUUACAAACAAAUCAUAUCAA